AUAUAUACAUACAUUUAUAUACAUAUUAAAUAUAAUCUAUCAUCUAUCUAUUACCUAUUAGCUAUCGAUCGAUAGAUCAAUAGAUAAUAGAUAUAAAAUGCAUUGUAGUGCUCAUCUGUACCUACCUGUGUUUAGGCUGUCCACUUGGGAUUAGAUAACCUCUCACAGAGCUGGUCCCUGGAGAAAACUGAUUUUCCCUCCCUCAGUACUCAUUGAGUACCUGUAACUCUUUUUCUGAGGUGGGAAGGACCCUACAAAAAUUCUCCUAUCUACCUUGGCAGGUCAACUGGUUUUGUCAUUAUGCAGAUCUUCUUAGAAUACCAUACUAUGGGGAUUUUAUUGGUAUAAUUUUCCUAUCAUAUCUAGAAUACAUUUACUAGAAGCAGGUGUCUUGUCCCUCUGGCUCUUACAUUUCUCACCCCCCCACACACUGUGUUUCCUGGGCCAAAGUCUCAUUCUAAAAGGAACUUGAUGCUAUCAGUCAUCAAGGGCUUGAGCAAAAUGAAAGAAUUCAACAUCCAUCAUCCUGUAAGGGAAUAAUCAAGUUCCAGAAAUAUGGUGAAAAUAAACAUGCAGUAGAAAUUAUAAUUCUGAGAAAUCAGGGGCUGUUUCAAUGAGCUAUAAUUUCUAGAUUUUUACAAAUAUCUGCAUCAAUCACACUAUAGUACAUGUGAAUCCUUUUUGUGCUUCUUUGGAGGAUUACUGGAAUGUGAACUUCCCUCCCUGUAAAGUUAAAGGGUAACACCAGUCCUCGGCAUCAGAAGGGAACCAAACAUUUAGUGAACUAAUGCAAUGUGCCAAUCACUAAGCAAGGUAUAUUACACUAUGUGCUUCACUUUGUUACUGUAAUUUUCUUCCAGAUAUUAAGGAAAGUGAGGCUUAAGAAGGUAGGUGACUUGCCCAGGGCUGCACAGAGAGUGGAAGCAUGCUAAGUGCCCUUCUGUUGCACAGUUUUCAUCUGUCAGUAGACAGUGCUCACAAUGGAAUAUGGAGAAGAAUUUCUCAGCAUUGAAUUCAGCUUCAAAUAAAAGUUUAUGUAUUUCUUUUAUUAAUUAAUUUAUUAUUUGACAAUUUCAUACAUGUAUAUAAUACAUUUGGGUCACAUUUAUCUGUCUUUCAUUCUCCUUUCUGUUACUACCAACAUCCCUCAUACCAAGUGCCCAUCCCACGUGCAUGUCUUUUUGCUUUGGUUUUGUUUUUCCUUUGUGACCCACUGGGUUUAACCUGGGCCGCUCUUGUGGACCUGGUAUGAAGCUAACCAUUGGAACUUAGUAACUCAUCCAUGGCUACAUCACUGAAGAUGAUGACUUCCCUUCCCCUGGCAGCCUUGACAGCUGUUAGCACCCAUGAGUUGGGCGUCAUGAGCUCCUCCUUAUUCAUGACCAUGUGGAGUCAGUCUUGUAUAGACAGCACCUAUGAAGACAACUACGGUUCCUAUGAGUUCACAAGUGCCAUGCCUUGUGCUAAGACAGUGUUUCAUGGUUCUCCUCCCUACCAUCCACCUCUUUCAUUCUUUUGGCCCCCUCUUCUGUAAUGUUUCUGGAGUUUUUGCAAGAAGUGAUAUGAGUGUCCUGUUAAAGGCUGAGCCCUCAACAGUCACUUGUUCUCAGCACCUUGGCCAGCUAUGAGUCUCUGAAUCAACUUUGCUGCAGAAAGAAGCUUCCUGGAUAUUGGGUUUGUGUUUAUCCUUCUGAGAUAGUCACAUGUGUCCAGCUUCCUCUAAAUCAGUGCUGGAAGGAUGCUCAAGCAGACCACCCCGAGGUGAUGAUUGCCUUCCUCAGGAGAUGGCCACAUAACCCAGGUCCUGUGGGAGGAAAUGAAUGAAUUGCCCAUUGUGCUGUGAAACUCAGAAAAGAAGGUUUAAAGGUGUCUGUGUGUUGACUCUGCUGCUCACCCCCACCUCGGCCAGAACCCUCAUAGGCUGGACCAACAAGGAAACCUGCAACAGCUGGCACCUGAACAGCGUUCUUGGCCCCCCAGCAUU